UACGUAGGGCGCAAGCGUUGUCCGGAAUUAUUGGGCGUAAAGAGCUCGUAGGCGGCUUGUCACGUCGGGUGUGAAAGCCCGGGGCUUAACCCCGGGUCUGCAUUCGAUACGGGCAGGCUAGAGUGUGGUAGGGGAGAUCGGAAUUCCUGGUGUAGCGGUGAAAUGCGCAGAUAUCAGGAGGAACACCGGUGGCGACGGCGGAUCUCUGGGCCAUUACUGACGCUGAGGAGCGAAAGCGUGGGGAGCGAACAGG
rnacentral:rRNA from 1 species